UUUAUUGUGUUAUUAAAUGAAUUUGAAGGACACAAACAAAAAAAAUUUAAAAAGUAAUUUUCUGAUCAAGUUCAAAUUUGAAUGUAAAUUACAAUUUACAGUUUUGGACCUGGGAACCAUAGUUUAUAUUCUAGACUAGGUAAACUAAUUUGCAUGAUGAAUGACUAUACAUACUGUACAAGCGUGCACCCUUGUUUUGCCAUACCAUUAUAUUUAACAUGUGUCUGUCAGUUUCUGCGGGCCCACUGGCAGUCAGACCCCUGCUAUGCCUUUUAUGGAGUGGAUGGCACCACCUGCCCCAUAUUGCCUCAGCCAGAUAGAGGACUUUUGUCCCCAUCCUCUUGGAAGGAGCCCCUCUGUACCGCCAUGGCACCAGAACAGUCCAAUACAGAGAAGGCUGAGAUAUGUACAACUCCGAGGCCACUGUAUGAGGUCAUCAGCAACAACAGCAGUCCUGCAAUAAGAUUCAUAACCAGCAGGUGCUGCUUUAUCCCGGUGCCUUGACUGGGACUGCUGGCCAGUGUUUUGAAGCCAUGGUAGAGAGAGGGGGGUCCUCAAGGGGAGCUGGUCCAGUGGACUGACCUCAGUGCGUAUCUGACCAUCCUUGGCAACAACCUGACUCGCACCACCUUGCAGCACCACCUCCACAGUUGCCGAUGUUGAUAUAUGCACAUAUCUGACAAACAAAGUUACAUCAGGAAAAUGUGGAACUUCUCUGCCCCGCUCGUCUUCACCGAGUCGACUCUGCUGUUCUCUCCGCCAUGCCACUGAGAGCCAGCUGCUGUGAUUUUCGCCCACCGUGCAAGAACGCCCACCGUCUGCAUCUGAGCCAAGGACAAAGUUGGACAUUAAGAUGGACUACACACAUACCCUGCUCGCUUUCUGAAGCGACCAAGUAAGAG